AAUGAAGAACGCAGCGAAAUGCGAUACGUAAUGUGAAUUGCAGAAUUCAGUGAAUCAUCGAGUCUUUGAACGCACAUUGCGCCCCCUGGUAUUCCGGGGGGCAUGCCUGUCCGAGCGUCAUUGCUGCCCUCAAGCACGGCUUGUGUGUUGGGCCUCCGUCCUCCUCCCGGGGGACGGGCCCGAAAGGCAGCGGCGGCACCGCGUCCGGUCCUCGAGCGUAUGGGGCUUCGUCACCCGCUCUUGUAGGCCCGGCCGGCGCUUGCCGACACAUCAAUCUUUUUUCCAGGUUGACCUCGGAUCAGGUAGGGAUACCCGCUGAACUUAAGCAUAUCAAUAAGCGGAGGA
rnacentral:misc_RNA from 1 species